GCCAGACUCCUACGGGAGGCAGCAGUGGGGAAUAUUGCACAAUGGGGGAAACCCUGAUGCAGCGACGCCGCGUGAGCGAUGAAGUAUUUCGGUAUGUAAAGCUCUAUCGGCAGGGAAGAAGAUGACGGAACCUGACUAAGAAGCCCCGGCUAACUACGUGCCAGCAGCCGCGGUAAUACGCAGGGGGCAAGCGUUAUCCGGAAUUACCGGGGGUAAAGGGAGCGUAGACGGCGAUGCAAGCCCGUUGUGAAAGCGCGGGGCUCAACCCCGGGACGGCAUUUGGAACUGUGUGGCUGGAGUGUCGGAGAGGCAGGCGGAAUUCCUGGUGUAGCGGUGAAAUGCGUAGAUAUUAGGAGGAACACCAGUGGCGAAGGCGGCCUGCUGGACGAUGACUGACGUUGAGGCUCGAAAGCGUGGGGAGCAAACAGGAUUAGAUACCCUAGUAAC
rnacentral:rRNA from 1 species